ACACGCCCGGCAAGAGCGGCGGAGAGGGGGCCCGGGACACCGCUGCGGCCACCGAGCUGCAAAGCCCGUGCCAGAGGUCGCGCACCGAGCGGGAUGCCCGGGCUGGGGGACAGAGGGACGCCUACAAGACUCCCAGGGCGCGGGACCAGACAGUAGGGACAGGUCUACUUUUCCAGCUGGGAUCAACUCUAGGAGCCACAGAACAAUUACACAAAAGAGAAGGUAGUGGAAAGAGGCACCCUCGGGGGGGCUCGAGGUCCCCGAGAGCCUCAGCGACCGAUCACCCAGGGUGAGGCGCACGGGCUCCAUCCCCAGCUCCCCGCGCGGUAAAAGUCGGGUUUCCUAGGAAAUGACAGCAGUUACCGCCGGGCUGAAAAGGCGCCGAGCUGGGUGGACUCCCAGCUCUCCAGCGCGGCGGGCGCGCUCACACUCACACACGCAAGCACACGCUCCCUCCCAGCUCCCCGCCCCCGCCCCGUCCGGGGAAAAGACUCCCCUCUCUAAACCCUUAAUAGGAUUGGCGCCCAACUCUCUCCGCGCCUCUCCCCAUCCAUCACAUACAGAUCAAGUUGCAGUAGUGGAUUUUUCAAAUUCCUCAGCAAAUAUACUUGUUGAGAGAUUGUCGGGGGUGGGGAGAGACGAUGAGUAGGGGGGCAGGGAUGAAAGUGAGGUGGAAGGGGGAACCGGAGGACCCGGCAAAGGAUUACGUGCGGAUCCCUUUGGGAAGUCAAGCGGAUCUCAGGGCCGAGGGCAGGAGAGGAGGAGAAGAGAGGCAAAGAGGGGGGGCCGAGGAGGAGAGCCCAGCAGAGGGGGAGGGGGCGGCCGGGCCGGGCGAGGGGGAGGAAGGAUUGAGGAAGGAAGAAAGAAAGGCAGGGCUCCGGGACGCGCAGCGCGGAGAAGUGGAGUUCGAAGUUCUCAAGUGGCUGGCUGCAGCCCCUCCGCGCUCAGUACGCCCGCAGACACGCUCCCAUGCCCACCUACGGCAGCUUCGGAGCAUCCCAGCCUCCGAUCCCACCCUCCACCCCCUGAAAAAACAGACCCCCGCCGGCGCGCGGAGGCCGGCUCGCUGUGCACCCCGAGAAGAGUGGUGCUCUCCCCCAGACCAGCUCAACUCCUGCUGGACUCCAGGCACUCACAUAACCUUUCCCGGCUUAUUUUGGCAAGAAGAUGGCUGUCGAGAUGAAGACAGAAUGUUUUUUGGUUGGAGGAGAACUCUGUAGACACCGUGCCUGAAUCUCUAGAUGGUCAGAAGUUUGGGCGCUGAAAAAAGCAGCAGAAGGUUUGGAGUGGAGGCAAACUGGUGUGGCCAGGGAAGCCUUCGACUGAGCGCUGGGACACCAGGUCCUAGUCCCAGAUCUGGUACUAAGUGUAUGACCUUUGGCCAGUCUGGUUCAUUCAAUCAGUACCAGGCACUGUGCUAAGUGGCUCGACACCACAGUGAGCAACACCUACAAGAUCUUUCCCCUUAGGGAGCUUAUGUUUCAUUAAUAACCACAAACAAACAUAUAAUCACAAACUGGGUAAAGGAAAAUCCACCGUGCUGUGGGAGCCGGUGAUUGGAGACCUGAGCAAGCUGGGAGGUGAGCUUGGGGAGGGGAGUGGUACAGAGAAGGAGAACGCUUUCCUGGGGAGAUGAGGUUGCACUGAUAAGAAGGAAUGAGGAAUGAGGGAGGGUGGACUAGGAGAAGGGGAAGUGGAGUGUUCCAGUUCUUCCUUCUCCCUUUCUGUGAAAUGGGCCUGAAUGACGAGAAAAACCAGGCCCAAAAGGAAGCAGCUUGUUCAUUAUUUCCCCGUAUUCUAGUGACUAGUCAUAGAACAAAUCACCCGCAAACUCAACGGAAGGAAACAACCAUUUCUUAUGUUCGUGGCUUCUGCACAUCAGGAUUUUGAACGAGGUAUAACAGGGGCAGUUUGUCUCUGCUCCACAGUGUCAGGCCUCCACUGGAAAGCUUCAGGGCUGAGGCUGGGAUCCUCUGAAGACUCUGGCUCCGCUGCCUGGCGGUCUGUGCUGACUGUUGGCUGGUGGGGGGCCUCAGUUCCUUUCCAUGCACCUCUUCAUGUGGUCUCUUUACUCAGGCUAGUUGGGGUCCCUCAUAGCACGGUGGUAACUAAUAUGCAGGGCGAGCUUAACAAGAACCAGCCAGGGAGAAGGCCUUUGGUCUUCUAUGAAACCUCGGCAGGCACACCGUAUCACGUCAGUGCACUCUAUUCUUCAGGGCAGACACAGAGAUCUGCCUCGGUUAAGGGGAGGGAAAAUAGACUCCAUCUCUCUUCUUUUUUUUUUUUUCAGACGAGUCUUGCUCUGUUGCCCAGGCUGGAGUGCAGUGGCGCCAUCUCUGCUCACUGCAACCUCUGCCACCAGGGUUCAAAGGAUUCUCCUGCCUCAGCCUCCCAAGUAGCUGGGAUUACAGGCACGCACCACUACACCUGGCUAAUUUUUGUAUUUUUUAGUAGAGAUGGGGUUUCACUAUGUUGGCCAGGCUAGUCUCAAACUCCUGACCUCAAGUGAUCCACCUGCCUCGGCCUCCCAAAGUGCUGGGAUUACAGGCAUGAGCCACCACACCAGGCUAGACUCCAUCUCUUGAGGGGGAGUGGCAUGAUUCUGAAAAAGCACCUGGGAGCAGAAAGGUUGCUGUGGCUGUUUUUGGAAAACACAGUCUGCUACACAUGGCUAACUGGAGACCCGUGGAAGACUAGAUAGGCUCUGAGAUAGGUGUACUGCUUCAUGGUUAGGCUACAAAGCCUGUGUCUUCAUCCACUCAGGCUGCUAUAACAAAACACCCUAGACUGGGUAAUUUAUAAAUGACAGAAAUUUACUACUCACAGUUCUGGAGUCUGGAAAGUCCAAGAUCAAGGCACCAGCAGAUUCAGUGGUCUGGUGAGGGAGUGCCCUGCUUCAUAGAUAGCACCUUCUUGCUGAGUCCUCACAUGGAGGAAGGGGUGAACAAGCACCUUCUUUUGUGAGGAUACUAAUCCUAUACAUGAAGGCUCUGCCCUCAUGAGCUAAUCACCUCCUAAAGGCCCCACCUCUUAAUAUCAUUGCAUUGGGGAUUGUUUCAAUGUAUGAAUUCCCUGGACAUGCCCCCAUGUCCAUGGGGACAUGAACAUUCGACUAUGGCAGCCUCAUAGCAAGCACUUAGGAGUUCUAGAAAGAAUCAAGAGACCCAAUCCCUACCCUUAAGGAGCCUACACUCUCAAGAGAUACAUAGAUUUGGCCGUGAUUAAAGGACACAAAACGGUGCACUGAGGAGUGGGCUGGGUAGCCAGUUCCCACCUGGAUAGGGUGGACUAAACAGCCACUCAGUAGCCAGAGAGGAGUGGCAGGGAGGGUGUCCAUACAACAAAUACGGACCAGUCCCAAGCGUGGAUCCUGUCCAUCUGCUGUCCUUUCAGGGCUCCUGAGAUGGCCCUCAGCCUCACCCUCCACUCCACCUCCCAUAGACUCUGCAGAGGGAGCCACUAGUCUCAGGCUAUGUCUGUUAUCACAAUGCGAGUACAUCUGAGAGGGGCAAUCCAGAACCUUUCGGGUGAUACUACUUAACCACUGUGAGGAAAUUUACAGACCUUUUCCAAAGAGUGGACUUCUAAAGGAGUAAGAAAAGUGAGGAUGCUACCUGUGGGGGCACUACUACAGGGACAGUUACACAAAGGGAGGAUGCCAGGCGGGCCAAACACCAGCAAGCAUUUCUCAUUUGCAACCUGAAUUUUCAACCCUCUCCCAGACAACUUUGUGGAAUAAAGCAAUGUAGAGAUGCACACAAGGGGUUGUACAAACUUGGAAGAUGUUAGGGACCCCCCCCCCCGUGCCCACCCCGCCAACCACAGAAGCAACUGGCAAAACCUCUUUCCUCUUCAGGAUUGCCCUGGAGGACACAGCUGGGAGAGAGUCAAGUGCAGAUGUGCCAAAACUCUUUGGCUAAUGAACUCAUGCACGCAUCCAUGCAUUCAUUCAUUCAUUCACUUAAUCAUCUGUGUUGAGCUCCUACUAUGUGCUUUGCACUUUAGAAAUAAAAAGAUCAGCUGGGCGGGGUGGCUCACGCCUGUAAUCCCAGCACUUUGGGAGGCCUGAGGCGGGUGGAUCACGAGGUCAGGAGUUCGAGACCAGCCUGGCCAACAUGGUGAAACCCCGUCUCUACUAAAAAUACAAAAAUUAGCUGGGUAUGGUGGCGCGUGCCUGUAAUCCCAGCUACUCAGGAGGCUGAGGUAGGAGAACUGCUUGAACCGGGACCUGGGAGGCGGAAGUUGCGGUGAGCUGAGAUCACACCAUUGCACUCCAGCCUGGGCAACAAGAGUGAAACUCUGUCUCAAAAAGAUAAAUAAAUAAAUAAAAAGAUCAAUGAGCUAUGGUC